AAUCUAAAACAACUAUCUGUUUCCCUUCGGAUACAAUGAAACCGAAAAUUCACUUCAACCCUUAUAAAUUGGAGAGGCUUAAUAGCAGGAUUGAUCUUCACAUACGCUCUCAGUUUAUCUUCUAUCUUCAAUUGGAGCUGCACAUCCUCAUCCUCGACGAACAUAUCUGUCCUCUUCCAUCUUCACCACAUAUGGAUCCCUAUCAAUGCUGACCGGUUCAGAUUCCACGUUUUAAGUCCAACUGUGGACUCAGUGGAGACCUCUAUGGUAAUCUCUGAAACGGUCUUCAGCUUAUCUUAUAUGCGUUGUAUUUGAUGCAUAUUAUUGAGCUUCUUUUCUAAUUUCACUUUAUUACCACUAUUGUUGUUUACGGGUUUAAGAUACUUUGGUAGCAAAUCGUAUAAACAACAAGAAAACGUAGAACUAGAAAUUAAAACUUUUUGUUUUGUUUACGUUCUAAUUCUUCUAUAUUCUUCUAUAUUUUGCCUACUGCUUUGUUACUUUUAUAGAUGAUCUCCAUUGAAAAAAGGCUUACGUUUACAUGAACAAGAUGAAUCAGGUAAAGUAUUGUUUUCCAUGUUUCUAAAACGCUACGAGAUGAAUCAGGUAAAGGCUCCAUAUUCCCACAAUAUAUGUUUAAUGUCUCCAAAGCUCUGUCAAACAUAUAUUUAUGUACAAUAUCUUAAUACAAAACUGGCUUACAAACUGAUAAUUGAUUGUGCAUAAACAAACGAACAGGUCAAUGGAAUAUAGCAGACUUAAGGCUAGGGUUGAUCUUUGGGAGAGGAACCAAAGGUACUGAUACAUUUUAGUAAUGAAAAUGUAUAAAUAUGUUAUAAUUUUCUUACUUAACAUUGGGGAUUAACAAAAGUGAGGAUGAUAUGGAUUCAUUGCCGACAUUAUGUGGGAAAAGAUUUAGAAUCAAUUGCGCAAGGAAACUCCAGACUGGACAUUUCUCUUGCUCCAGAAAAGCAUGUAUGUAUAUCUUCCUUAUGGGCACAUACACACGCACACAUCUCUGUAAAAUGUUUGAGUUUGUGCAGAUAUAAAUAUAUGCCUAACUAUUGUAAGUGAUUUAAAAAGAUUCUUUUUUUUUAUCACUAAAACUAUAGUUAUAGGUCAUAAUAUAGUGUUAUAGAGAUGAAUGAAUGAAUAUAAUUUUGACUCAUUGGUGUGUAAUCAACUUAUGUACGAGUCCCUCAACCACCUUCAAAAAAAGGUACGUUAACACCACUUCAUCUCUGAAGUCGUGACUUAUGUAAGCGGGGAUGCCGGCACCAAUACAUCUCUUAUAUUGGAAGACUCAUGAGGGACUUAGGCAGUACCGUGCGAAGAGUUUUAAGGACCUAAGGCAAGUUUUAAAAAUAAAUUUAUUUACAACCGCAAUGAAAACAAUUUUCUAAUAUGAUAUAUUAUUUUCAUCAAAUACACAAGUUUAAUACUGUAAAAGAAUAAGUUUAUAAUGUAAAUAUGUUAUAUUAUGUCAUAUAGAAAAAAAAUACAUGAAUUCAGAAAGUAAGUUAAUUAAUUUUCGUAGAAAUGUUUUUUUUCUUAAAUAAGUCUAAACCACUAGACUAUAAAUUAUUUUAAAUUUUGGGACUUUAAAAAAUUAUGUUAAUCGGAGGCCUGAAGCGAAUGCCUUUUUCAAUACACUGUAGGCACACCUCUAGACUUAGGUAUGGAGAUUUUUAUUGGUGGGAUUUUCAAGUUCAUGUGUUCUACUCCACUUCAUUCUUGAACUUGAGCUAACAACUUUAUAUUUCUAUAAAAUUAUUUUACCAAAAAAAAAAAAAAAAAAAAAAAAAAAA